rnacentral:tRNA from 1 species
AGGGAAAUAAGUUAAAUUUAAACUAAGGGGUUCAUGUCCCCUCAAUAUGUUUUAUACAUUUUCCUGA